GAUGAAGAGGGAAACGCUCUGACUCUGGGGAGGAAAGAGGAAUGUUGACUCUGAAUGAGGGGAGUGAGAACGUGACUGCGGGAUGUGCCGACGCAGGCCCGGGGAGAAACCGCUUCCCUUCAGCCGGAGGAUUCCCAUUAAAGCCAUGCAGAUGUUGUCGGUUACCCUGGGUGUGCUUCAGGCGUUCAGUAUCCCCAGAGCAGCAAACUGAGGGGCGCGUCACAGUCCGUGGGAGCUGGGUGUUGUUACGCCUCCGUGUGUACGUGCGUGUGUUGGUGCGGUUUUGUAGUGGUCGAGGGGCUGCUACCGCUCCCUCAUUCAGGGCUAUUUUUUCAGUCUCCAAUUCCUCCUCGCCUUUCUCUUUUCUCCAAAUAUAAACUCUGAAUGUACACAAACA